UCCAUAUGGUCGAACGUCGCGUAUAGGC
rnacentral:sRNA from 1 species